CUUUCAUUUUCUCUCUCUCUCUUCCAUAUUCUCUCGUCCCCCUCUCUUCUCCAUUAAACCCUAGCCGCCGUCGACCCUUUUUCCGGCCACCGCCGCUUAAAAGAAAAUAUUAAGCCCAUUUUCGUAUUCAUCAUCUCAUGAGUGUCACAAUGAACCGGUUGGAUUUUGAUUUUGAGCGAUCUCGCCGUCGACCGCCGCCUCUCCUUCUCCGACAGUCACUACUCAUCAUCGCCGUUGUCAUCACCAUCACCGCAACUGUUUAAAUUUUUUAUGUUUUAUUUUUUAAAUUCAUGGUUUAUUGGUUUGCAGAGCACUGAAGCGUGAACUCAAGAACACGAAAAAGGAAGUCGAGAUCUACAAAAAGGAAGAGGAGAAAGCCAUAAAGGUAUCUCUCAUAUUGGUUUCAAUUUCUGAAAAAUUAUCUUUUUAUAUGAAAUAUUAAUGUUAUUGGCAUCUGCUUCCAAGUUUUCUUCUGAUUUAGAAAAAUAACAUUUUUACCUUCAACUGGCAUCUGCUGCCGAAGUAUUUGUACACGCUGUUUAAUACUGAUAAGGCUGGUAAGGUGAGGCAAUCUCUUCCUCCCAGUUUGAUUGUUCAAGAUCUGUAGAUUGAGUUCAGUUUAUCGAUUCUGUUUUACAUUUUUUGAAAUUUGAAACCCUAGGUUUUAUGACUUGGUUUUGUGUUAUUAUGAUUUAUACUUUUAUAUGAUUGUUUUUUGAGUUGCUAUGUAAAGUUCAGUGUUUGCAUUUCUCAGUUAGACACGCACAAGUACAGUUCUGGCCAUAACAAGACCUCAUCUCCACUCUUCCCUAUUUGUGGUAUCGAUGAAGUGCUAUCCAAUACAAGAGUAUUCGGCCAAUAGCGGCGCUAUCCAUCUUUAGCAGAAUGGAGCAGGGACUGGGGGCUGGCCGCUAUGGUUUUGAUGGCUUGCUUUCCUUACCUGUAUUGCUUUUGUACUGAUGAUUUUAUGGAUUAAGAAGGUAUUGAACACGAAUGAAGUGUACCUCAAAGCAUGUGGCUAUUUGGAUCAAAGCAUCAAUGGAGAUGGUUUUGAGGAAUUGGACUUUAAGUGUGAAAUGAAGAUUUUCAAGGAAGACUUGGUCAAUGAGUUUUAGGAUAUGUUUAGGUAGACAUAAAUGGCCAGAUUCA